GUAGGUGGCAAGCGUUGUCCGGAAUUAUUGGGCGUAAUGCGCGCGCAGGCGGUCCUUUAAGUCUGAUGUGAAAGCCCACGGCUCAACCGUGGAGGGUCAUUGGAAACUGGGGGACUUGAGUACAGAAGAGGAAAGCGGAAUUCCAAGUGUAGCGGUGAAAUGCGUAGAGAUUUGGAGGAACACCAGUGGCGAAGGCGGCUUUCUGGUCUGUAACUGACGCUGAGGCGCGAAAGCGUGGGGAGCAAACAGGGACUAGAUACCCUGGUAGUCCACGCCGUAAACGAUGAGUGCUAAGUGUUAGGGGGUUUCCCGCCCCUUAGUGCUGCAGCUAACGCAUUAAGCACUCCGCCUGGGGAGUACGGCCGCAGGGCUG
rnacentral:rRNA from 1 species